rnacentral:rRNA from 1 species
UACGUAGGGUGCGAGCGUUAAUCGGAAUUACUGGGCGUAAAGCGUGCGCAGGCGGUUUUGUAAGCCAGAUGUGAAAUCCCCGGGCUUAACCUGGGAAUGGCAUUUGGGACUGCAAGGCUGGAGUGUGGCAGAGGAGACUGGAAUUCCUGGUGUAGCAGUGAAAUGCGUAGAUAUCGGGAGGAACACCUGUGGCGAAGGCGGCCCCCUGGUCGGAUACUGACGCUGAGACGCGAAAGCGUGGGGAGCGAACAGG